rnacentral:miRNA from 1 species
UGAUGACGGAAGAAAUCCAAA